rnacentral:rRNA from 1 species
UAAAGAUUAAGCCAUGCAUGUCUCAGUACUUGCUUUUACAAGGCGAAACCGCGAAUGGCUCAUUAAAUCAGUUAUGGUUCACUAGAUCGUAAAUUUUACACGGAUAACUGUGGUAAUUCUAGAGCUAAUACGUGCAACCAGCUCGCUUCCUUGUGGAGCGAGCGCAGUUAUUAGAACAAGACCAAUCCGGCCUUCGGGUCGGUACAAUUGGUGACUCUGAAUAACCGAAGCGGAGCGCAUGGUCUCGUACCGGCGCCAGAUCUUUCAAGUGUCUGACUUAUCAGCUUGUUGUUAGGUUAUGUUCCUAACAAGGCUUCAACGGGUAACGGGGUAUCAGGGUCCGAUACCGGAGAGGGAGCCUGAGAAACGGCUACCACAUCCAAGA